UACAGAGGUCUCAAGCGUUGCUCGGAAUCACUGGGCGUAAAGGGUGCGUAGGCGGGUCUUUUAAGUCAGGGGUGAAAUCCUGGAGCUCAACUCCAGAACUGCCUUUGAUACUGAGGAUCUUGAGUUCGGGAGAGGUGAGUGGAACUGCGAGUGUAGAGGUGAAAUUCGUAGAUAUUCGCAAGAACACCAGUGGCGAAGGCGGCUCACUGGCCCGGAACUGACGCUGAGGUGCGAAAGCGUGGGGAGCAAACAGG
rnacentral:rRNA from 1 species